rnacentral:lncRNA from 1 species
GCGCGGAGGAGUGCUGUUCGUGUGUUCGAGUCCCUGGGUUGCUUCCUGGGGUCUGUGGUGCUGGGUGUGCUAUCUGCGUGUGAUUCUCUAGCGAGAGAUUGUGGGCGAGUGACCGAGUGGGCAAGGGGCCGUCACUGUGUGUGCGUGAUUUUGACAGUGUGUGGUGGUAGCUUCUGACUCCGCGUGGGUCGUUGAAUGUAUGACUGGGACCGUUUAGCGGUGGAUACACAACUGUGUGCGGCUGUGGAAGAUUGCCUCAUCCGUUACGUUCCCAUUUCCGUGGAACAACAGUUUUACCAGAAGGUUUCGAAGGAACCUUAAAGUUUGGAAGCGCGGCUUUGGUGUCAUCAAAUGUGAGAAGCCCUGGACUUUACACAUCCCGAGCCAGUGUGAUCCAGUAUGAUUGGGAGUCCGAGUGCCAGAUGCCGGUCAGGACCUGUUAUGCUGGGUCUCAGAAUGCGGAAACUCUCCCUGUCCGAGGUGGAACAGUUUGUCCUUGAGUGAGGACUGGAGUCCUGAGUGACUCUUUUGAUUUGAUCCUGUUUCCCUCAAACCUGGUGAGCUCUAUGGUGUAAUAAAUGGUUAAGAGUGUGAACCCUUAACCAUCUCUAAGACUGGAGCCAGAAUGCCUGAACUCCAGUCUUAGAGAUGUGCCUCGGUCUCCACAUUUGAAAGUGAGGAUGAUUGUGGCAUCUAAUUCAUUGAGUUGUUGGGGAGGAGUAACUGAUAUGUAAAAUAAUGCUACUGCUGCUGGAUAAGGAUGCUAAUAUGACUGAAGCUAAUGCUUUCUUUCUGCAAAGAUGCUUUUUCCAAAACACACCAUAUUGCCUCUUUACACAUUCUUCAGGAGAGGGUAGAGGCUGCAUUUUCCUUGUAGGUGCGGUGAUGUGGUGGAAAGCACACUUUUAGAAUUAGACAGA